UCGUAACAGUGGGGGGGUCCGACGGCUGUCGCUGACUUUUCAUAACAGUCGUGCACGCCCGAGUCCUCUCACAUACAAAUAUCCAUCUCACCCCUUUGUGCAUCACCGCGUGUGUCCUCCUCCCCUUUCCAAGGAGGGGGUUACUCACGUUUUUAACAUCGAACACCCAUCACAAUGUAGUGUAGAAUGUUCUUUGCGCCACCAUGCGCGAUCAAUA
rnacentral:misc_RNA from 1 species